UAUUUUAUCCGAAUUCUGUGUCUCUGUUUCUUUCCGAGAUUUCUGCCACACUGCAAAUACUUGUAUUAACUGUGUAUUGUGGUGCAGCAUCUGAAAUGUCAUCUUGAGUGCAUCACUGUUUUGGGUUUCAGAUGUCCCCAUGAGCCCUGCACUGUGGGAUGACUGCAGAGAUAAAGACCAGCUGGAGAAGUUGGGGAGCAAUCCUGGAGUCAGACGGGAGACAUUUGCCUGGAUUUGCCCUGGGAGAUAGAAAUCAACCUGGCAGAGAACAGAGAAAAAUUGAGGACUUAUUACAACUACAACUGAGGAGACCACAUUCAAGCCACCUCAAAAGCAUGUUCUCGGGUUUUAUAGGAUGGUGACUGUUUCCACAAUUAAUUACAUCUCUGAUGUGUCAGGACUUGUGAUGGAGCAGCAAAGGUCAAAUUGUCUUGUAAGAAUGGGUGUUUUCAGACAGCUUGGGUCUGAAGUUCAGCGUGAAUGCUCUCAAAACCUGGUCUAACAAGGCUGCCAGCUUCAUUCCAAGUGCCCUACACCAGUGCUGCUCCCUUUGAUCUUCUUCCCUGAUAGGUUCCUGGUAGCUUACCAGAAGAAUUUACAGAACAUAGUAAUUACAAAGAGAGGACAGAAUUCCUGGGCCAGGGAAAUGUAAAUGACCCUGCUGUCUGUCCCCUUACCUGGGGCUCCUCAGCCUGCAUCGCUGUCUCUGCCAGCUCAGCUUCUAUCUCGGCUCUGCACUUGCAGACCCCGUCACGGGUAGAUGCCCUCAAGCUUGUGGCUGGUGUUUCAGCUGACAGGGC
rnacentral:lncRNA from 1 species